AGGGGUGGGGGGGAGGGAGGGGAGGGAGCUGACUCCUGACCUCCUCCCCCAGAAUGUGACCUUGGCCAUGGCCGUGUUCACCAUCCUAGCCUCCAUCUACUUCUUCAACAAGGCUCAGCAGUAAGAAGGCAUGACACCCCAAUCCACCAGCUUGGCCCCCGCCUGCUCUGCCAUUGCGCUGGCCUCUGAGAUCCAAUAAAUGUAACAGCACCA
ensembl:processed_transcript uncharacterized LOC115064691